AUGACCAUGGGUGGCGAGGCGGCAUCCACUUCCUCUUCUACUCCCCAUUCACAACCUCUGGAAACUGAAGCUACUCAAUGUAGAGUGGAGAGUGUUAAACGACACCUAUCCAGAUUGGUUGUGAAAUCUCUCUGUGCAGUGGCAGCUGAUUUUGAUGUGGAGCCAAUGCUCGAAGUCUCGAAAUCAGGAUUUGGUGACUACCAGUGCAACAACGCAAUGAGCUUAUUUCCACGUAUAAGAGAAUCUGCAACAAACCUCGGGAACCCCAAUGCAGUUGGACAGGCAAUUGCAGACAACCUUCCUCCUUCCAGAAUUGUUGAAUCCACCUCUGUUGUUGGACCUGGAUAUGUUAACAUAGUUCUAUCCAGUGAUUGGAUCGCACAGAGGAUACAAGACAUGCUUAUCCAUGGGAUCGAAUCAUGGUCACCAAUCUUACCAGUUAAGAGGGUGGUGCUUGAUUUUUCAUCUCCUAAUAUUGCAAAGGAGAUGCACGUUGGGCAUAUAAGAUCAACCAUAAUUGGAGAUACACUAGCUCGCAUAUUUGAGUUUGCGAAUAUUGAAGUUCUUCGUCGUAACCAUGUGGGAGACUGGGGUACACAGUUUGGAAUGCUGAUACAAUUUCUGUUUGAGAAAUUCCCAAAUGGGGAGGAAGCUGCCAACCAGGCCAUUGGGGAUCUUCAGAGUUUUUACAGAGAUGCCAAGAAAAAAUUUGACGAGAAUCCUGAUUUUAAAGGCAGGGCUCAGCAAGCAGUAGUUCGCCUGCAGAGAGGGGAAGAUAGAUACCUAGCUGCCUGGAAAAGUAUUUGUCAAAUUAGCCGGAAUGAGUUUGACUUGGUGUACAAACGCCUUAAUGUGGAACUUGAAGAAAAGGGCGAGAGCUUUUACAAUCCUUACAUUCCUCAUGUUUUGGAGGAAUUGACUGGCAAAGGCUUGAUUACAGAAAGUAAAGGCGCUCGAGUUAUAGAAGGCCGAAAGCCUCCUCUGAUAGUGGUCAAGAGAGAUGGAGGCUUCAACUAUGCUUCUACAGACUUGGCUGCUCUUUGGUACCGGCUUAAUGUGGAGAUGGCAGAAUGGAUAAUAUAUGUAACGGAUGUAGGUCAGCAGCAACACUUCCAUUCAGUUUUCAGUGCUGCUAGGAUGGCUGGCUGGCUCCCAGAUCAAAAAGAAGAGAAGUACCCAAAGGCGAGCCAUGUUGGUUUUGGCUUUGUUCUUGGUGCAGACGGCUCACGUUUCCGGACCCGUUCCUCUGAUGGAGCUGUUCGACUGGUAGAUCUACUUGAUGAGGCUAAAUCCCAGAGCCUGGCACAACUUAUCAAACGUCUCACUGAAAAUGGUCAAAUUGCUAAAUGGACGGAUGAGGAGCUGGAUAAAACUUCAGAGGCUAUAGGAUAUGGUGCUGUUAAGUAUGCAGAUCUUAAAAACAAUCGGCUGACGGACUACAAAUUUAGCUACGAACAAAUGCUAAGUGACAAGGGAAAUACCGCUGUGUACCUUCAGUAUGCACACGCCCGUAUCUGUUCCAUCAUCCAGAAAUCCAACAAGGAUGUUGAAGAGUUGAAAAUGACUGAAUUUAUUACUCUCGGCCAUCCUGACGAACGUUCCUUAGGAUUGCAUCUCAUCCAAUUUGCAGAGGUUGUCGAGCAGGUCUGCGACGACCUGUCGCCCCAUCGCCUGUGUGACUACCUGUACACCCUAUCUGAAAGAUUCUCACAAUUUUACACCAACUGCCAGGUGGUCGGGUCGCCAGAGGAAACGAGCCGCCUGCUGCUGUGCCAAGCGACGGCCAUCGUCAUGCGGCAGUGCUUCCACCUGUUGGGCAUAACACCAGUGCACAAGCUAUAG
rnacentral:rRNA from 1 species